GAGGUACUCACUCCGUUACAAAUUACUUGUUUUGGAUUUGUCUAGAUACGGAUAUAUCUAGACUCAUUUUAACACUAGAUACCUCAAUAUCUAGACAAAUCUAAGAUAAAUAAUUCGGAACGGAGGGAGUAGGUC
rfam:Triticum aestivum genome assembly, contig: Triticum_aestivum_CS42_TGACv1_scaffold_570935_7AS